GAUCAUGGCUCAGGACGAACGCUGGCGGCGUGCUUAACACAUGCAAGUCGAACGAGAAUCUGCUGAAGGAGGAUUCGUCCAACGGAAGCAGAGGAAAGUGGCGGACGGGUGAGUAACGCGUGAGGAACCUUCUUGAAGAGGGGGACGAACAGUUGGAAACGACUGCUAAUACCGCAUGACGCAUAGAGGUCGCAUGAUCUUUAUGCCAAAGAUUUAUCG
rnacentral:rRNA from 1 species